rnacentral:rRNA from 1 species
GAUGAACGCUAGCGGCAGGCCUAAUACAUGCAAGUCGAACGGGAUUAAGAGGCUUGCUUCUUAUGAGAGUGGCGCACGGGUGCGUAACACGUAUGCAACCUACCUUCAACUGGGGGAUAGCCUUCCGAAAGGGAGAUUAAUACCGCAUAACAUAAUUGAGUGGCAUCACUUGAUUAUCAAACGGCAGGGUUGAAGAUGGGCAUGCGUCCGAUUAGUUUGUUGGUGAGGUAACGGCUCACCAAAACUACGAUCGGUAGGGGAUCUGAGAGGAUGGCCCCCCACACUGGUACUGAGACACGGACCAGACUCCUACGGGAGGCAGCAGUAAGGAAUAUUGGUCAAUGGACGGAAGUCUGAACCAGCCAUGCCGCGUGCAGGAAGACGGUCCUCUGGAUUGUAAACUGCUUUUGUUAGGGAAGAAACUUCCGUACGUGUACGGGACUGACGGUACCUAAAGAAUAAGGAUCGGCUAACUCCGUGCCAGCCGCCGCUGUAAGAC